CCUACGGGAGGCAGCAGUGAGGAAUAUUGGUCAAUGGGCGCGAGCCUGAACCAGCCAAGUAGCGUGAAGGAUGACUGCCCUACGGGUUGUAAACUUCUUUUAUAAAGGAAUAAAGUGAGGCACGUGUCCCGUUUUGUAUGUACCUUAUGAAUAAGGAUCGGCUAACUCCGUGCCAGCAGCCGCGGUAAUACGGAGGAUCCGAGCGUUAUCCGGAUUUAUUGGGUUUAAAGGGUGCGUAGGCGGCCUUUUAAGUCAGCGGUGAAAGUCUGUGGCUCAACCAUAGAAUUGCCGUUGAAACUGGGAGGCUUGAGUAUGUUUGAGGCAGGCGGAAUGCGUGGUGUAGCGGUGAAAUGCUUAGAUAUCACGCAGAACCCCGAUUGCGAAGGCAGCCUGCCAAGCCAUGACUGACGCUGAUGCACGAAAGCGUGGGGAUCAAACAGGAUUAGAUACCCCUGUAGUC
rnacentral:rRNA from 1 species